UACAGAGGGUGCAAGCGUUAUUCGGAAUUACUGGGCGUAAAGCGCGCGUAGGCGGUUUGGUAAGUCGGAUGUGAAAUCCCCGGGCUCAACCCGGGAACUGCAUUCGAAACUGCCUGGCUUGAGUUUGAGAGAGGGAAGUGGAAUUCCACAUGUAGCGGUGAAAUGCGUAGAUAUUUGGAGGAACACCAAUGGCGAAGGCAGCCCCCUGGGUUAACACUGACGCUCAUGCACGAAAGCGUGGGGAGCAAACAGG
rnacentral:rRNA from 1 species